rnacentral:rRNA from 1 species
UAGAGUUUGAUCCUGGCUCAGAUUGAACGCUGGCGGCAGGCCUAACACAUGCAAGUCGAGCGGAUGAAGAGAGCUUGCUCUCUGAUUCAGCGGCGGACGGGUGAGUAAUGCCUAGGAAUCUGCCUAUUAGUGGGGGACAACGUUUCGAAAGGAACGCUAAUACCGCAUACGUCCUACGGGAGAAAGCAGGGGACCUUCGGGCCUUGCGCUAAUAGAUGAGCCUAGGUCGGAUUAGCUAGUUGGUGAGGUAAUGGCUCACCAAGGCGACGAUCCGUAACUGGUCUGAGAGCUGAGAGGAUGAUCAGUCACACUGGAACUGAGACACGGUCCAGACUCCUACGGGAGGCAGCAGUGGGGAAUAUUGGACAAUGGGCGAAAGCCUGAUCCAGCCAUGCCGCGUGUGUGAAGAAGGUCUUCGGAUUGUAAAGCACUUUAAGUUGGGAGGAAGGGCAUUAACCUAAUACGUUAGUGUUUUGACGUUACCGACAGAAUAAGCACCGGCUAACUCUGUGCCAGCAGCCGCGGUAAUACAGAGGGUGCAAGCGUUAAUCGGAAUUACUGGGCGUAAAGCGCGCGUAGGUGGUUUGUUAAGUUGAAUGUGAAAUCCCCGGGCUCAACCUGGGAACUGCAUCCAAAACUGGCAAGCUAGAGUAGGGCAGA